rnacentral:lncRNA from 1 species
UGGGGCCCUCUUCCUCAACGCCCUCACAUAACAAGAUCCAUUUUCCUUUUUGAAGAGGCCGCCGCCAAUUAGAACAUUCCUGGAGCUUCUAAUUCAGCAAGGAGAAGAGGAGGAGGAGCCAGGGGGAAGGAGCAGGGUGUUGUUUUCCUCCACAGCACAAUGGUAUUUCAGCGGGUUUAAGGCGGGGAGUCGCGUUUAAGCCUUCCUGAAUGGCACGCACGCACGCAAAGAGGAAAGAAAAAAAAAAAAAAAGAAAAAAAAAAAGAGAGAAAACCCUUCCACUCUGGAAACUGAGAGCAGGCAAAUAUCCUCCCUGCUGAAUUGCUGUUAUUAAAUAGGGGGAAACCACCCCGCAACGAGCGCGCUCCGGAGCGCGUGGUGCCUCCGAGUGCCGCGACGCGUUGCGGGGCCGGGAGACCUGCGGGCGGGCGGGGGCCGCAGCCCGAGGCGUUCACCUCGGCCCCGGCCCCGCCGCCACCCAGGUAGGAGCGAGCCGCGGCCCGGGGGGUGCUCGCCCCGGGGGGAGGGGGCGGCCCACAGCGGGCGGGGGCGGCGGGGCGGGCCGGGGGGGCGGCCCCGGCGGCGGGGGGCGGACGGGCGGGCGGCCCGGGGCGCCGACAAUGGGGCGGGUGUGGGGCCGGGUGGGUGUUUUUUUCCUGCUCCCGAGGAAACGCAGCGCGAUUCCCAGCGAGACGGCGGCGCGGCGCCGGCCUCGGCUGACGGGCGCCGAUCUGCUGAAGCCGCGCUCCCCCGCCUUCUCCCCCCACUGACGCCCGCUCGCAGGGACGUUCCGCGCUUCCGACGGCCGUUAGCGCGCCCCGCACACCCGCACCGCUCCAGCGGGGCUCCCACGUUCCGCAAUUAGGAGACGCAAGCCAAGCAGCGGCCCCGCACCGCCUCGCUGCCGGCGGAGGGGAAGGAGCCACAGAACGAGGGGAGGGAGAUUUUAUUUGUUUCCCCUCCCUAUUCCUAUCUCGCCGGCGGCCGCCCGGGCCGACCCCCGCCGCAGCCCGCGGCUCCCGGCCCCGGGGCGCCUCCCGCCGCUCCGCGCGGCUCCGGCUCCGCGUUUUGCGUGCGGCCGCGGUGUCAGCCGGGGAGCGCCGAAUAACAAAGGCAACUUGGAGAGCCCCCGCCGCCGCGCGGCCUGCCAGUGACGUCAGGGAACAAUGCCGCUGCCAGCCGGCCGCGCGCACCCGCCGCCCCGUGCGCGCCCCCCGCGCCCUUAAAGGCGCCGCGGGAGCCGCCGGCCCCCAGCCGCCCCCGUGCCCGCCGCUGCGCGGACCCAGCCGGGGGCAGCGGGCGGCAGCGCUGCCGCGGGGCGCUCACGCCCCUCCAGCCGCGCGGCCGCGGUCGGCAGCGCCGUGCCUCGGCACUACGCUCAUUUGCAAUUAGCGUCCCAUAAGGCAGCAACGCGCUGAGGUGUCACAACCUCUGGCUCAGACAAAGACGGGGGCGGACGGCGGGUUUGGAGCGUCGUUGCUCCAAACCGGCCCGAACGACAAGGUUGGCCAUUCACCGCAGCCCUGCGUGUGGCCGCAGUACGGGGCACAGCCGGCCCGCCGCAGGUAGGGGCUCCCGCUGCCGGCCCGGCUGCGCAGCGCCGCGGGGCCGCCCGCAGCGGCAGAGAAGCAAUCACCACCACCGCUCCCCGCGGUGCCCGAGGCGGGUCUGCCAACCUCGGCCGUGCCACACAACCCGCGGCGGGCGGAGACACCGCCCCCAUAGGAUCGCGUGUUAAAGCAGAACCUCCCCCCGCCCUCAGCCGUAGUUGAAAUGAAUUCUGCUGCUAUCGUAACUCAUACUACGGCCACACACCGGGAUGGAGCCGGUGAAGUAGCUCACAGGCUGGGCACGCGUCGUGCCGGGGGAGCGCUCGCAGCUCGCUGCAGCGCGGGGAGGCCUCGGGCAGCAGCCCGACCGGCCGUGCACCCACUGCUGCUGCGGUGCCCAGCCCAGGGUAACCCAGGGGAGCGCAGCAUGGGCUGUGGGAUGACGCACCUCUCCUGCGAUACACGCAGGCGACCGUAUGGGCAGCGCUGAUUCCCUACUGCCUUCUGACACCAGCAGCGCUCUCCUUCCUUUUAGCUACCCGUAGCAUCGUGUCAAGGCCAGGGGGCAGCUGGUGCUGCCCAGACACGAGGCCCUUCUGAGCUCUCACCUGACGCCCAUACGUCCGACAUCCCUCUGCUCCCUCCUUGCCGCAGCCCGCGGGCCUAUCUCACACGGAGCAGUCCAGCUGGUGCUGCCCCAAACCGAAGGAGAUGGCGUCUUCUCCUAGCUUGCUUACACGGAGCCACAGGAGCAGUGCCACGGAACACAACCACAUUACAUCGGGGGAGGCAACCUAAUGGCCAAGUGGGGCUGCAGUCAGGGUGUACACAUUUCACCAUGUGCAGACAAACUUGUGUAGUGUAUUAAAGUCUAUGGCCAUUUUAAUCUCUUAUGGAGGGGGGGGGGGGGGGGGAGCAAGGUUUAUGUGAAUUCUUUAAUUAGACAUGAAAUUGCCCUGCAAAGACAGUAAGGAAGUAUGUGGUUAUGCAACUGGAGCCCUAGAGGAAAAAGUAAACAAUUUUACUGAGAAAAACAGAUUGAAAACAAUGAUGACAUUAAGAGGGAAAUGGCUGGAGGUUUGGGCUCUCUCUUUUUUUCCCCUUCCCUUUUGAAGCCUAAGAACAUCUGCAGGUCAUCUUCAACUUGGUCCCUCUUUGGUGUUGCUCAGUAUGUACUGCUUCAGUACCGUGGUCAUUCUUGACUGGAACUUGGUACACAGCUCUGUACAGGAGCUCCAGCAUUAGGAGCCGUAGCAUCAGCACUUUUCUCGGUCACUAAGGGAAUGCAUCUCAUCUGAGCCAAGCCCUUUUUUAUGCCAAAAUUUUGCAAGUUAUUUAACAUGCCUAGAAGCCCCAAACCCUCCAUGGUGUGCUGCUGAAAGGCAGCUGGCAUAACCAAGCGCCUGGCCUUGCACAUACCAUGGCUCUGGGACCACCACCGGGCAGCUUGGUUCCCAGGGCUGCGCUUGGCGUGGGGUGUCCUUUGUGUAGCACCAGGCUCUGGCUUACAGCAUCGUGCCCAGCCCUCCCUGGCAUACCCUGCUAGGUUAAGCAAGGCGACUUGGCUAGUUUGGCAAAGGGAAUAAAGCCCUUAAAAAUGUGAUGUGGUGAGAUAGCAUUAAAAUCCAGGAUGUGUGCCUUCAAGAGUCAAGGACAUAGCUUAAAACAAAACAAAACAAAAUUUAAAAAAAAAAAAAAAGCGAGAAGAAUAGGAAGAGAAGGCACACCAUGUGAUUGUAAGUUACUGAGAAGGAACUUCACAUGUGAGCUGAGGAAAUGCAGCAUUGUAAACGUGCUAUUUAUAUAGUGCUGAAAGUGUACUUUUACAGGGACAUAAACACUCUUCACUCCAGUGCAUAUAAUCUGCCCUUCUGAAGCAGAUCAAGACAGUGCCCUGUUAGAGCCGAUUCAAUCUAAGGUCAAAAACCAAAUAAAUCUCAACUUUGAGAAACUUCAAACCAAAAUUUGGUCUGGGCCAAAGUCAUUCGACUGGACCAAGCCUUUCCCAUAACAAAAAUGAUCCUCCGAAUACUGAAGGUAAGAUCUGUAAGUAGGGACUGUGACCACUUCUGUUGUUGUUAAACUUUUUUUUUUUUUUUUUUUUUUUUUUUUUUUUUAAGCUGUAUCAUACAGAUUCGGGAGGAAAAAGUGAAAAAGAAUACAAAACUUUAUACAAGCUUUAACUUCAGGGAAGGUACCCAGGCAGAAUAUAAUUAGCAAAGCACUUUGGCUGUCUUCCAGCUGCACGCAACACCAUACUCUUGUAAAAGAGCACCCAAGGAUUUUGAAUGACCACAAAUAAUGCAAUCAUGUUAACCUUAUGUAAAACCAGACAUGCACUUAACUACCCUGAAAUCAUUUCAUUCACUAUGUUAGCAGAGCUGUCCAUGAUGUGGAUAUCAGACAGAUAGCAGUAUUUAUUCUACCAUUUGACUCUCUCCUGCUUGAUUUUUUACAAUAAAUAGGUCUUUUUUUUUUUUUUUUUUAGCCUGAACUGAAUUUUAAUUGCAAAAGAUCAUGAGAUUUAAAGAACAACAAAUGCAGCCAUUUGUAGAGCAUGCAUGCUGAGGUCCAAGAUCUACUUCUGUUUCUCCCCUUGUCUUCAGCUCUUACAUGACCCAAUCAUGAAGAAAAGAUGUCAAAUGCCACCAGCACCAGCUGGAGAGCAUCUUGCUUGAACCCUGGUCUGAGUUUAUGUGAGAGGUAGCCCCAAGCCAGCCCACCAGCAUGGAAAUAGACCAGCAAGUAAAAUGUUACUGUGAGGAGAGCGAGGACUGCUUCAAAUCAGACAGAGCUUGCCAGAACAUAAUGGUGGCUUGUAACACAGCUAAUCAUGCCGAAUAAAACAGAGCCUUAAAUACAUUCAGGACUAGAUUCUCAAUGGACCCUUCCAUUUAGCAUGUGGCAUCAAUUUUUUUUUUCCCUAACCAACUGUAUUUGGUACCACAAGGGAUGGUUAAUACAAUUUCAAAAAAAAAAAAUUCAAAAAAUAUGAAUAAAUAACCAUAAGUUGUUUACACAAAUAAACAUUCCAGGACGUGGGAUUUUAUUCAGUAAUUGCCAUAUUGGUCAUAAAACAUGCCUGAAAACCCAAAGUACUACUUUAUUGCAUUUAGCAGCAACAAUUAGCCUCUCAAUUUUUCACUGUUUUAACAGACAUGAUGGCUUUCUACUGUGAGAAUAGGCUAAAAAAAUAAGCAACGAACAAACACAACCAAAAAGCAGGCUCUUCUGUACAACCAUACGCUCCAUAGGCUUACACGCAAAAAGCCUGAGCUGUGUUUCAUGAGGCAAAAGAAACAAACGGGCGGCAGACCAUUUUCCUUCCUACAUGAGGCACUAUCUAGAGGAGAGGGAGCAGCGAGGAGUUUUGUUGCAAGGCUCUCUCAGAUGUACCACAGGCAAUUCCUUGCUGCUGAGGACCAGAAUAAGGGCAAAAGUGGAAACAAUAGGAAAAGGUACAGUCCUUAAUGCAUCACUUGCUCUAUUCCAUUGUCCACGAAACAACAGAAGUGAUGGUUGGACGUGAUGACCUUAGAAAUCUUCUCCAACUUUAAUGAUCCUAUGAAUUUUUACACUGAACCAUUUCUGUAAAACAGAGAGCAUAAGUUUUGCAAGAGGGGGGUGUUUGUGAGCUGGAACAUUUUUUCUUUGCAGAAGAUUAAUCAAGAUAAAUAAGUCAUUUGGAAACGCUUGUAGUAGAUAUUCAGGUAGACACCUGAAGCCACCACAAGGCACAAAGUCACAUCAAGAGGACUCACUUUAUGUAGACUCUUGCAGGUUCAAGACAAGAGAAGUACAGCUGUGACAGAAACUGGGGGAUUCCACUCAGGUGAACUGCAGAUGUGAGCAAAGAUACACAUAACUGAUGCAGCACAGUUACCUCGCAAUUUGGAUAAUUAACCCAUGGGUAAUCAAGUAUUGAUGGCAUUGCACUAACUGCAGAAACUAUGUCCUAGAAACAUUACUGGGAAUAUCCAUCCUGUGUUUUCACCUCCUAGAAGUCCGAUUUGGACAGCUGACUGACCUACUUCCAGCAUGUCACUGUUCCCAGCACACCAACCCCUAUCCCUAAACACAUGGUUGCUUCCAGCAAGGGAGAGAAAAGGAGGACUGGGCUACAGAUGUUCCUCGCGCAUACAAUCAACACGGCCCUCCCCCACCAAAGUUUAAUAAGGAUUGUUAGUACAUCAUUGUAGCUGGUAAUUGUGUAGGUACACAUGGUAAUUGCAUGUAUUUGCACUAAUUAUGUAAAUGCACAAUAAUUAAAGCUCCAGGGUUUUCAUGGUAAAUUUUUAAAACACUCAUGGAUUUGUCAUGGCAAAAGUGUCAGUCAUGUAACCUAGUGGGGAAGAAAAGGAGGAGGAGGCUCAGGAGUGCACACUUCUUAAAUAAAAACAGACAUUUUUGCAUGAGUAACUGGAGAGGGGAUACCAUUUUAUCAUCAAACAGAACUGUCAUGCCUGGGUACAACUUCUUUCAGACUCUCUUAUCAGUUAGAAUAAUAAUAAUUAAAAAUUAAAAAAAAAAAAUUGGUUUUCAUGGUAGGUCAUUGCUAAUGCUCAAAUACUCCCUGCCUUCUAUCCUGGCUUUCCCCACCCACCCUGCACUGCAGGUCUCAGGGCUUCCCUCUGCUCUGUGCUGCAGGGAUGAGCAAGCCUCUGCUUGGCGGGCAUGGAGGGGCCUGGGCAGUUCAGUGCUCCUUAACAACUGCAGCCGCAGAAGGAAAGGGAGCUUUGCAAACACACAGCAUGCAUCUCACUGCGAGGCAUGCAGACAAGCAGCGUAGCUGGUGUUCAGCCUCAUUGGCCACCGUACAGCUCCCUGAGCAGCCCUACUGUGCCAUGCUGGGCUCACAGGUCCUGCUCAGUGGGCAGUAUGACAGAGAGCUGUGACAUGGAGCACCAACUAGAUGUUUCACACUAAAAGCUGGCUGCUCCAAAACACACUGUGUGAGGUUUUAAUCCCUUCAGCCACAUGCUCCUUUUAUGGGUGAUACCUGCACUCAUGACACUUGCAUCCACUGGGAAGGCACCAACCUGACUUGUGCUUAAGCAGAAAUAUUCUUCCCUGUGCCACCUCAUUGCAGGUGUUCUUGUUGGCCCACACAGCACCUCUGCAGGAUUGCUUACUCAUACACAGCUUCCUCAGGACCGUUGCAACCAAGAGCCAGUACAAGAGCUUUAAGCUACCGAGGCCAAAUACCUAAAGACAAGACACAAAGGGGAGCUUCCUUGGGAUUUACAACACAGCUUUAAGAGGAUUUGGGGGACACACAGCCACACAGUUAUUUAUGUAAACCUAAGUCUAUAUACGUGGAUCAAAAAACUCCACAUACAUGGCAACUACUUUCAUUAUGCCCCAGCACAUUCCAUAUCGUUCAGGUGUUGUUUUCUUUUAGUCAUUUCUUUGAAGACACUUUAAAAAAAAUCAAAGCUAAAUUAAAACAAAACAUAAAACUAUAUGAUAAAAACUGAACAAAUCUAGUGAUACAAAAGUUAUGUUAAAAGCAGAUUUUAAUUGCUGGCGUCCAAUUAAACAAGAGAAGCUACCUUGUAUAGUGACUAUUUUCUACUUCAUUUCUAAGAAUGGACAUAUUUUCAGGAUUUUUUUUUUAUUUCCUAUGGUGUUAAGAAUGUCUGUAUCCAUGCCUGAUAGAGAUUAAAGAAAGCAAAGCAUCAUCUUAAACUUUUGGAUUUGCGGAAACAUGUUUGUUAAUGCACUGAGAAUCUUGAAGGAGUACAGGAGGAUUUCACACAACUAACUGUACUCCUUCUGAUAAUAAAUAAAUAAACGUUGCUAAAACAGUGAUCUGUUGAAUUAAUUUCCUUUAGUUUUACAAUAAAUUCAUCUGUUCCUCAGGUAAUGGGUAGAGGGUGUCUAAAAUUCUUUAAAUACAGGGUUUGUGUUCAGGACUGGAAAGCAGCUGAGUUGGGUUAUCUGUCUGUAGGGAAUUGUCCAUCUGUCUGUAGGGAAUUUAUUUUGGCUUGUUUUUGUUGUACAGCAGCAUUGUGAGGCUAAGUUAGUGCUUUAAUUUUUGUUAAUGCAGGACCAAAGGUCUUUCAGAUGUUUAUGUCUAGUGGCAGCUCGUAUCAUAAAUACUUGCUUCCAGCAUCAUGACUACACAGACUGAGUAAGCCUUCAAUCCAGCAAGGUCCCUCAGACUUGGUGCUUCUUCACAUGCCACACAAAUAUGCUUACUCAGGCAGGAAAAAAAUGCCUAAUUUAUGAGAAGUGUUUUGGUUCAUCAGAUUUGCAAAAGCAGUUUGGUGGUACAGCUGACAUUCAGAUUCCUUCGCAAGAAGAGUUGGAAGGUUGUCCUUUCUGAAAGUCAUGUCCAUGGUGUCUCAAGUUGAUAGCAUGAGCAUGAAAACACCUGCAGUUAACAGUGGGCCUAUUUCCUACUUCUGUGUGAUUCUUUUGGUCUGCAUGAACAAUAUGAAAAAAUAUUGUUAAAUAUAAGUUGAUCUAAAUAAAUACAAAUAUAUGCUUAUUGAUAUGUAUCACAAGAGGUGUUUGUGUAAUGAACUGAUUGGUCUGAGAUCCUAGCAUGAGCAAUUCUGACACAAAUGGCAACUUGGUGCUGACUGUUGGGACACACGAAGGUGUCCUUUGCUGAAUAUUUGCUACCAGAACAUCUAGGAAUGGAAGAUAUUCUUGGAAAUCUAGGCAAUGGGAUUUGCUCAAAAAUCCAUGGCAAAUACAUGACCAGAACCUGUACCUGAACCUGUUCCUGACUCGUGAGCUGAACUGGCAGGUGCCCUGUUCCAACAAGCCAGCCACAGUACAGGUGUAUUUUAAAUCACUGUGCUGAGUCAUUCUCAUUUAAAUGUAGGCUAAACCACCUGAGUGUACUGUCCUUGCUAACCUCCACAAACUCACUGUAAAGUUUUCCCUCUACAGAGCAGACAAAGCCCAUUGGCUUCAUCCCUCAUGUGAGCCACAGCCAGGCAGCUAUUGCCUAUUUGCUGCAUCACGAUAUAUGAUUACAGACAGUUGUGAGUGUUUGUUUGCUUGCUAGGCUUGUUCCUUUAAAGAGGAAGAAUUAUCCUAUUAUCUCAAGCAGAAUCACACUUGUUCCACUCUAUCUUGCCUUCUAAACUUUAAAAGCUGAAAAGUCAUCUUUUAAGUGUCUUUUUUUAGCUGAAGGAUUUUCUUUUAUUUAAUUUCUAUACAUACGCAUUUUCCACUACACAUGCUGGAAUAGUAUCUGUUUGAUUUCCUGUUAUUGUACGUAAGUCUACAUUUUUUGUCAGUGCUUUGUUUUAAACAAAGCAGAGGAACAUAUAGCAAGUUUGUCCUGAAUUAAUGGCUUCCUGACAUUUGAUGAAAUUCUUUAUACCAACCCCACUUUUCCAUAUUCCCUUUCUGGAUUUCUUUUCGUUUGGCAGCUGGCAUGUAGCAGUUAGAUCCUAUCUGGUAGCUAGAGCAAAAAGAGUCCCAAAAUGUAGAAUUACUUUUAAGAGCUCUAAAUACUACCUAGACUUCAACUUUAAAAACCUGGAAGAAUCCCAAACCCAGGAGAAAGGAUGUAUGAUGUACAUUAUCGGGCUACUGUUACGGGGAAUAGUUUAAAUACUGAAUAAAACUCAAUGAAGACUUUCAGAAUUAUUUUUGUUCAGACUUUACAGUCUUGUGGGGAAUGCAGAGGUUAGCAAUGACACCUCAAACACUAUACUGUCUUGAUAGGACUUGAAGGUUAGAUCAGGGAAGUACUGGGUAACCUAUCAAAGUCCUGAAAUCAAAAGGCAUCUUUUCUAAAAUAAAUCUCGGUGGGGAGAAUGUACACAUUCUCAUGCUGCUGUAUGUUUUGUCAUAUUCACAGGUAAAAGAAAACUAUGGGCAAUGUCUGAUAAUGCGCCUGUCCUCUACUCAGACUUGCCCCCUUCAAUGACUAGAGUCACUUCUCAAUGACUGGAGGCUCUGCAGAGUGGGGAAGUGAAAACCAGAACCCGCCUCUCCGAAGAUAAAGUUGAAAAAAAGCAAAUGAGCAAAAACAAACAAACAAACAAAAAAUACUCCCUUAACCUGGUAUCAAACAUCCAUCCUAUCUUGUUUUGAAUUGAUCUGGAGAAAAUGGUAGUUGGCAAUGACUCUUAAAUGUAUGACCAAUCAUUUUGCUUUUUUAUAGGUACGUGAAAGACACAGCUUGCCAGAGUGGAAUUCAUGUACCUCCUGAAAUAUUUAAGACACCUGCAGUGAGAUUAUUUUUCCUCUUUUAAUUUGAAGAACCUGCAUUUCUCAGUUCUGAGGCAUUUCUCUGGCGGUAAUGUGUGCCAAAUAACUGGCAGUCUGGCACAACAGCACUUAUAUUCCAAGUAUUAUAAAAGAUAGAUAACAAGAAACCUGUUGCUUUUCUUUUCAGGGGAACUGAACCAUGAAUCUUAUAUGGCAUCAGUAGGUACAGAUAUAAACCCCUCUCCACUGUUUUUCUCUGCUUCUGUGACAUAAAAUUAAGGCCCAAAUUCUACAAAAUAUUUAACAGGAAAAAUCUCACAGCCCAAAAGCUCUCCUGAGGCAGUAUUUGCAUACAAUUUGUUGCAAGAUUAGGAUCAGAGGUUUUUUUCUCCCUAUUUUUCUACCUCAUUGGGUGUUAUUCUGGCAUUGCUAUGUUUUUCCAUUUACAUUGUUUUGACUAGAGUCAAAAUUGUUGUUACAUUUUAAGUCAGUGUCUGCUCUACUAAUUGAUGGGCUGCUAAAGAUCAGCCACGGAGAGUUAGAUUUCAGAGCAAGAAUCUGGCUCACAGAAGAAGUGAUUACAUGAGAUAUGUAAGGACCAAAGCCUGUAAGACCGAUUCAAACCCUAAAUGAUUUGACCAAGAGUACAAGGCUGUGAUACAUUCACAGUGAAAAUAUGGCACCUGGUCACAGUGUCUGGCUUCCACUUCUUCCAUCCAACUUUAGCUGUCCUCCUUUUGCAGAGGUCAAAGCAUUGUAUAAAUAUCAGUUAAGCAGAGUAAAAUCAGCUCCUUUAAAAUAUUUAGCUACCAUCUACCAGUGCUUUAUAAUAUGAAGAACAUACCUCUGCUCUCCUGGAACAUGGCAGGAAGCAGAAGUUUCUCUUUUGAAGGCAAUGAAGUUCCUCUGCAUCUGACUUCCAAGCAGUGUCUAACCUUGCUAUAUAUUUUAAUCUAACAGUAAGAUUUUUACUUCAGAACUUGUUUUCAUUCUGAAUCUGAGAGAGAAAGUGGGCACACUGUAGAUUUCUUGUAAAAAAUUUGUAUAACCAUGCUUAUCAAAUUUUAAACAGUAGCACCAGUAUUGCAAUACUUACUUUACCAUUAUAUUAAAAACAAAAGCAACUGAAAGGAAAGUCAGCACGAAAAGUUUUCCUCUUAUCAGAGUAAAUGAGAAUAUUGAUAUAAUGCAUUUCUGCUCUCUGCCUUUUAAAAUGGCAUUGAAAGCAACACAUUCUUACAAUAAAGUUUGCAUUUCACUCAAAGUGCAUUUUCCAACUGGAAAGUGUAAAGGCGAAUAUUUCAGGAUUGGUCCUACUUGAUGGUGCUUUGCAAAUACUCUCUAUUAACCUGAAUGACUGCGUAAGGUAGAGGAAAUCGGUAAACCUGGCCCUCUGAGAGCAGAGGAGCAAGUUGUUAAUGUUAAUGGGUAUCAAUUCACAUAUAUUUGCUUACAGAGAUCUGUGGCAGCUCUGAGUGUUUCACUGUGUCCAAUUUCUUCUUGCAUAAAUAAAGAAGAGCAUGAAUACUUGAAAAGAUGAAGGCUUCUCUGGAGCAGAAGAGCCAGAACUACUACAAGGAAAUUCUUGUGCUUCUUUAAUUACCCUCCUUUGCCCAUAGGUGGAAUUUCCACUCGGACAGCCCCAGCAAGCAGACUGCUAGCCUGGGAAGAGAUGUCUGUUUGUCUUUGUACAGCAAACACUGGCUGUGUUGUGCAGCUCAAGCUUCUGAUUCAAAUGAUUUCCUGAAUUCAUUCUGCUUCAUACCUCAGGGAAGGAAGAGGUGAUCCUCUUGAAAAUUCAUAUAAUUGCUUUUAUUUGAUUUUUAUUAAACCUCAUUCAAGAAUAAUGUGAUGGCUUUCUUUAUUACAUUGUUCAUCACUGCGGCAUUUUUUGAAUUUACUUUGCUAAAAGAAGCAGUUUACUAAGCCAAAGAUUGAAUUCAAGGAUUUUUGCAGAGAGAAAGCUGAGAGCUUUUUUCAAGUUCCUUUGAUUUCAAAGACUUUUGUAACAUUGAUACCCAUCUAAGAUUAUCUCUGCUUUUAUUCUCUAGUAGCUUGAACAUCUCUCCAGGCCUGAGCAGUCAGGCCAUUCUGCAGUGUGCCAUGUGUGUGUGCUGGGAUUCAGCAGGGCCAGCUGUGCCGCAGCUUCAACCCAGCUCGGCCUGAGUGCCAGGGAGCUGCCAGAGUGCCCAACCCACUCCCCUCCCCAUACCAGCCGUCCCACCACCUGCUUAGGCUGCCUCUUGCUGCCAUGCUGAUGGCAGUGGACAAAGGGAAAGGCUGCAGCUGUAGUGUGGAAAGCUACAGCAAGGAGUGGGUUCAUUGACCCCCCUCUAAAUUCUUUGUAGCUGCCACAGAGAUUGCUCCCAUUUUAAAAUUGGGAUGACUGAUGCAGAGAAGCAAAGUAAAUAAUCUGCACUUAGCAUGAAUAAAAGUAGCCGAGCAAUUAAAAUUCAGAACUGGCAACUUCAUGUCACUAGCAUCAAGCUAUACAGAUUUGGAAAAUUUGAUCUAUUUACCUCUUUGCCACUGGUGUGACAUCAUCUACUGUCCAUCAGUAACUCACACACAGAGCUACCUGAAGUGCAAUUUUAUGAGACUUUUUAAAGAGAAUUAUUUUUGGUCAUUUAAAGAUAGGUGUUUAGGAACAUGAGAAUGUUCAUAUAUUAUUAUAGCAAUUUUCCCCUCUUUUCCAUUUUAUCACAGGAAAUAACAUCUCAAAACACUAUGAGUACUUUGUAGAAGGUUCUUUUUUAUCUUAAAAAGUUUUUAACAAGAGUCCAGUCAUCUUAGUUAAUCCCUUUAAGCCAUGUCAAUAUUUAUUCUUAAGUAGAGUUUCAAAUAUUAGAGCAGCUGCACUCAGCUUAAUAGGGACAAUUCCCAUUGACUGGGAAUUAUGGCCAAGUACUGCAGGGGCUGACCUUGAGUCCUCAGGCCUACAGUUUAAAUGGCAAUAAGGGUGGCGGUGUGUCUGUUGGUUUAUGCCUCUGUCUGUAGGUAAGCACAAACCCCAGGGCUGCUUAAGGACCCUUAAUAAGCACUGCAGCUACUUCCCAGGGCUCUGGAAACCCUGUGUGAGGUGAGGCAUGUAUUUUUUAUGCUACUGGCAUCUAGACUUCUGUUUUCUAACAGUGACAGAAUAAUGGCAAUGGAUUUGGGAUAAAAGACAGGCAGAUGUACCACCAUUUCAUCAUAUAGUUACUCCUCAUCCCUCUUUCCUAAGGCAAGAAACAGGUUACUUCAUAUCACAUGGAGUACCUUGCCUUUGCCCCUCUCUCAGGGCAGGUGUGUUUGAGUCAGAGAACUUCGCUGUUCCAAGAGUCAGCUGGCAUUACGCUCUCUAAGACCCUCCAAAAGAGUGCUCUGCUCACAACCUCUAAAUUAAACUGAUCACCAGUUUUCUGGGCAGGAUUUUUUCUUCCAUUUAAAAGUUCUCUUUUUCUUUGCUUUAUUUCCGACAACACAAAACACAGUUGCUGUCUAUAGCCAUAGGGAAGUUUUAUUCAGUAAGUCCUCUGCUACCGUGGUGACACAGGAUUUUCAUGGUAGUACUGAUUCCUUUGUUGUCUUUCUGUGGUACUACAUUACAGCUAUGGCUUUUUUUUUCUUUCCUUUUCCUUUUCCUUUUCCUUUUCCUUUUCCUUUUCCUUUUCCUUUUCCUUUUCCUUUUCCUUUUCCUUUUCCUUUUCCUUUUCCUUUUCCUUUUCCUUUUCCUUUUCCUUUUUUUCCAAGCAGAGGUUUUAUUUCUCCUGAGGAACAUUAAGAAGUAUUUCCCUCCCUGGGGAUGUGGAUUCUCCAUUCUGAAGAAGCCUGGGUCAUUGGAUGUCUCUUGCACAGAGAACACUUCGGAUGUCUCCGCCAGUGUUCCCAGAAAAGGGAGAUGUUUCCUGUCUGGUAGUACAGAGCAGCUGAUCAUUUCCAUGUUAUGCUGAACACAAAAACUGGACCCACUCUCAUAGUCCUCAGUGUGGGGCACCAUGUGAAUACAAAGAAGACAAUGACUGAAGGAGUUUUAAUCUUCCCUGGCCUCUCAGAUACCUUGGGGGACUCCUGGCCUUGGACCCCCUGCUCCCUGUCAUUUUUCUGACCACUUCUGGUGGGAUCCUGUGCUGUUUGCACUUAAAGUUACUGAAGUGAACCGAAAAUUGUAAGUCUCCAGCAAAGAUUAAAUGGCACAAAAAGGUGAGUAAAUAUAAACAGUGAAGUGAAAGAAGGUGGCUAGGCUUGAGAGCAGCAAGUACUAAAUGAUGUAUUUCAUAAGACCUUGAGCCUGCACUUUCCUAACAUGUUUUUAUAACAUGAUUCUAAAGGCUCCAUCUGCUUAACUUUUUCCUUCCAGAUUAAUGAUCGUUUUAGGACAACUCAGAUUUGGUUACUGUUAGCUCUAACAUUUUCAGAGAGGCUGACUUCCCCAUCAUGAGAUAAAUUGCUAGGAUAUAUGGUGCAUGCAGAGAAUUUUCUGGUCCAAACUGGAACAAUCUCUCUGCAUAGGCACAUUUACUUUUAAUUAAAAAAAACAAAAAACAAACAAACAAAAAACAAACAAACAAAAAAAAACCUGUAGAUAAUUCCAUGCUUUUCACAGUAUUAACUUCACAGACAAAAACAAAAAAUCAAAAUGUUAACCCUGUCUCUCUUAUGUCUUCCAGUGUUCAAUUCCAUUCUGGUAAAGGUUUGCUACAAUUAAUCAUUUUUACAACUAUUUUAGGCUUAAAUCCCUUAAAAAACGUUCUGGAUCUGGAAUCUGACUAAAUCAGAAAUGAAAGAAAAUGUUUCCCAUUGCUUUCUGCUGAUGCUGAAGAUUUUGCAUAUUAGUCUAAUGUAACCUUGUAGUGUUGAGGUGUCCUCCAGGCUGGCUCUGGAGACCCCGCCGGCUGCUGCAGCUGCUGUGACUCCUGCUGCACUAAGAGCUUUUACAUCUGAGUGCUCUGCAGUAUAAAUGGGCAGCAACACUGCUUCUUUGCUUGGUCUCCCUGGAACAACUCUAAAAUAAACCCGCAUAUAUCAAAUAAACUCUGUGUGUUCUUUCUGUCACAGAGUGUUUGCCAUCUGGAACAGUUUCCUUAGGGCUGGAGAAUCUUUUUCCUGAAGACUGCACCCCCACCAGGCUACUGAAGCAUGUUUGUCUUUUUGUGUCUCCUACCCAAAAGCCUCCUUUUAUACAUCAGGAGUCAGUUAGGAGCUUUAUUACCAUUUCCUGGUCCCAGUGUUGAUCAGAACAAGACUUCUGUUAAGCUCUGUUGUCCCUUAGCAGUCGUUGCAUAGAUGACAAUCCACUUCAGUGUACAGUGGAACUCAAACACACAAAUGUUCAAAGCAGUAGAGCAGAUAGGCAACAAAUCUCAUCAUUCACAUUUAUCUUGCCCGGGUUUGAUUUGCAGUUUUGGUGCAGACGAAUCAUUUUCUUCUUGGAAGAAACUAAACCAGAAGCUCUGCUUCUGGUGCACUCUAGUUGUGCUAACCCCCCUUGCAGGGACAAAAGCAGUCCUUAGAAAACAUUUAAACCACAUGCAUUUUGGUUGUCCAGUCUAGACAAACUAAAUAGAAUCUAAAGUAAAAUGCCAGACUUCAUGCACUCUGGAUGUAGAGCCCUCACAGCACAUUGCAUUGUCACACUCAUCUGCUCCUCCUAUGCCUAAUUGCUUGUUAAUGCAGACAAAGGCAGAGGCACAAAAAACAUACAGCAAUUCCUAUCAUCAGCUUCCUAAAAUCAAAAAGUUCAUCAGUUUCUGAGAACAUUUAAACUCCUGGCUUAUGUCUCUAGAUGGCUAGCAUUGUACAGAUGGUAUAGUGUACCAUGCAUACACAGUUGAAUUUGGUAGAUGCCUUCUUUUGGUGUUAUGUUAAUUAAUGGAUUUUUAUGUGAUGAAAAGAUGGGGCAAGAAGAGAGAUCACCUACCAUUAUUUCCCCUAUUGGAAACUGUGAUUCUGUCUUUAAGCACUGAGAUGUGGUCAGCCUGCAGAGCAGUUUAGGAUAACAAGUGAAGACUGCUAUCAUGUCCAAUUACUCUCAAAAGGAAAUUAAGAGAGGCAGAAUAUAAUUACUCAAACUGGAACGUAGCCAGAGUGUUGGGGUGAUCAUUUGCUAUAUGAUCAUUAAUGACUGUGGUAGAUAACUGUGGAUUUAAUGCCACGAGGUAAAUAUUCCCUCUCACCAAGGAGUGUGCUCGUUAAGAAAAAUAUGGAUGCAGUCAUAAAAGAAUGUUAAUUGAAUCCUGUGUAUGACUGAGCAUUCAUCUUCCAAAACCAAGCAUCAGUACUAACACCACUCAAAACACACAGAAAUGCUGCUUGGCAUCUAAUGAGAGUAGGGAAUCAAAAGGGUUCUGUAUGGUAUACAUCCAUAUUUUUGAUUAUGAUGAUAUGGCAUCAGAUGAAAUUAUUGCAGUUAGUUCAGAUUGUCCUCUUUAUAACACUGCAGAAGUAAAUGUAUAAGGAGGCAAGGAAAACUGCUAAACAUUAUUGAUUUAAAGAAUUACCAGAAAUUCUAGGUAUUAAAAUAGCUUUUUGAGGUUUCGUGGAAGCCACAGUGUUUAACAAAUUAGAUUACCAUUCAAUAGAACUUCACAGUUCUCCCAAACAGAAAGAUAAACAAUAUAUGACAAUUGCUUUACCUUUUACUGCAAUGCAGCAGACACAUAACAGCAUUAUCAAUAGAGAUGUGAAAAAAACUCAGCACUUGAGGACUUUCUAAAUACUUUGCUAGAAACAGAUAGCUUGCUGAAUUAGUGACUACAGCAGCCAGUGCCUUUGCUUUGCAGCUUGCCUGAAGUAGGACACAUCUUGCACUGGCUCAGUCAGAAAUGUCCCUCUGCUGCAAUCUGAGUGCUGCGCCUGUCGAUGUUUCUGUAAGAAAGAGAUGAGGAGAGGCAUCUCAAAGUUUUUACCAGCUAGAGGGGCAAUAGUUAAUGUAAUGGUUACAGAGGAAGAUCCUGGAGCGAUGUCACUCAGGUCAAAACUGAAAUAUAUCAUCUACUAAUGUCAUUUAUUGAAGGUUUCUUUCCUUUAACAGAACUGCAGUUCCUCAAAAAGUUCUUGCUCUGGCUGAUGUUUUGCAAGGAUGUCUUGAUAGACUGGAAAGUACUUUAAAUCCAGCUCCUUGAUAAAGAACUGGAAAUUUAAAAUGCAUGAAGCUCGAUCCAGAACUUGCGCAAGUCCAUAAGACAUCAUCUUCAACAUAUGGGGACAGGUUAGGCUUUAAUUCAAACUGAAGAGCUUUCAGUAAGGUUCAUCUAAACCCAUAGAAAAUGGGGAAGAUGUUUGUGAAGAGGCCAGGCAAGGGAUAGCAGCCUCUUCUGUUACCGCUCUCAGGAAGUCCCACAAGCCUUUCUGUGCUUCUGGAAGAGCUCGAGGGAAGAGACCUGCUUGACUCGAAUCAAAAGAAUCUUGUUAAAAAUCUUCAAGCCACCGAGAGAGCUGCUUAUAUUAGCAUGGUUAUUUAGUCUGGAAAAAGGACUUCAUUGCAUUCGUCCUUUGGAGGCCCGGAGUGCCAGCUGCAGCUCUGAGAAAGGAAAUUCCAGCUAGCACAGAGUGCUCCUGUUCUCAUUGCCUGCACAGCCUGCUCAUGGUAGGGGCUUCUGGAGGCUUCCUGACCCUCUCUCACCCACUGCUUUUUUCUCUGAGCAAGGAGCAGCUGUUAUAAGCAUGUCUGAUCAGAGAAUCAUAGGAUUAUUAAGGCUGGAAAAGUCCAUUAAGAUCAUCCAGUCCAACUGUCAACCCAUUGCCACAAUGCCCCCUAAACCAUGUCCCUCAGUACCUCAUCUAUACAGUUUUUGAACACCUCCAGGGACAGUGAUUCUACCAUCUCCCUAGGCAAUCUCUUCUGAUACUUCACCAUUCUUUCUGAGAAGAAAUUUUUCCUAAUAUCCAACCUGAAAGGAAGGAUAGGAUCAAUAGCUCUGAAGGAAGGGACCCGAUCUGCCACCCGAGGCAGCGCUGCCAGCUUCACUGAUCUUUCUGGCAGAAGAUAACCAGAAGAAAUGAGAUAUGGAGCUGGCAAAGAGACCAUAAGAUCAGACUUAUUUCAGCACAUCAUGUUUAAUGAAUGAACAGGAGCAGUAAAUCCCAUCAGGUCUAGGUCUCAAGUAGUUCAAGAUCUUUGCAUGGCUGGAGAGGUGAAGUCUGCAGUGUAGUGCACCAAAUUUUGUCACUCUCUUACUUCUGGACAUGUAAAGGCAGCUAACAGCACUUCACCUAGCCUGACACUGCUGCUAUUCAUGAACAGGAAAAUAAAUAGCACAACUUUGAGCAGAAAACUCUUAACUGAAAAAAAAACCAACAAGUGCAUCAAAGAAGGAUCCUUUAUGACACCAUUAUACCGAGGCGAUGAUUUUUCUCUUUUCAACUGAAACUACAAGAAGUGGGCCUCUCACGAACCAUAGAACAGUGGUGGCCAUCUCACAGGGGGUGAGGGAUUUUAUGGACCAUUCAGCAUUUCACACCACUGACUGAAAUGAAGAGGAACUUCAUUCUUGCAGAGACAUGGAGAGCAAACAUGGGAGCUGGAACAUGCUGCUUUGUACAGAAAGAAAAAAACACAACAAACCAUGAAUCAAGUGCUGUCAGUUAGCUGCUCUGUGGAUUGUCUCUGAUAGUCUAUGGUGUGGGGUGCUGGGCAGUGGACACACUGUGGCCGGGCUGAGGCUGGCUUCUGGAGCUGGCUAAGAGCAGCUCCUGCCUGUGUGUGAGUGCGUGGUCAGGAAGUACAACAGGGAACAACAGUCUGGGGGCUGAGAACAAGAUGUUAGGAUGUGGGGUUAUGAAGUAGAGGAUGAAGCAAGACCUGAAGCAGGUGGGAAGGCUAGAGGGAAGAAUUUGAAACAUUGUUGUACUUCCCAAAUUUUCUGUUUGGCUUACAUGAGAGGUUUAAGGGGAAAGAAAGAGGCACCUGACAGUGUUUACAGCAGUGAGCCUAUAGAAAGUUAUUCCUUCCAUAUCCUUCUCCUUUGGGCUUCCAAAGUUGCUCUGUUUUACUUCCACUGUUACAGCCGAGCACUCACACAGAGGCCUUGGAGCAAAUCUGCAGCGCAGCUUUAUUUCCACCCUCUUAGUAUAUAUCCAUAAAUAAAGUAAAACCUUGGAUGGCAUAGUGAUCUUCAAGAAUGCUUCAGCUUGAAUAAACCUUUAUGGCAAAACCACAACCCUUUCCUUACGAGUCAAGCAAAAUUCAUCUGAUUUAUAUCUUUUGUUACUAUCAUAAUGGGUCCCACUGAGACUUACCAGGUUUCUCUGUUUCCUGGCAGAUAAAUCAACAUAUGUGCAGAAGAUAUCAAGAGGUGGGUCAGUUGGGGUAACAGUGCAUAGUCC